CGUGUGACGGUACACAGUUGAGAACCAAUGGCUACAUGAGUGGGUACGAACAACGGGUCGCGGGUGCCAACGCUCAUUUUUCGUGUCCCCGACUAUAGUAGGUAUCUUUAAUAAUAGCAAUCGCCAAUCCUGUGAGUAAAAGAAAGUUGACAUAUGGUGAUCAUACUUAUACAAAAUUAAUAGAUCAGACCACUGAAAAUAAUAUUGCUGACUCGGUGUCAACAAUAAGUAAUUUAGAAUGUUCUAGCCUGACAAGUUCAGAAAACUAUGGUGUUUUGGAUUUGUCAUUAAAAAAUAAAAUUUUUGAUGAGAAAUCACCACCUCCAAAUCGUAUUGUGGAAACGCUAGAAUGUACGCCAAUACGGAAACUAAAGAGAAAACGCCUGCAAAAAAAAGCUGAAACUCCUAUUAAAAGAGGAUUAAGGAAAAAAGUUAAGCUUCUUCAACAAAAAGUUAGAAGGAAAAGCAAAAAAAUAACCAACAUUGAGGUUUGUUUAUAUUAUAUUUAAUAUUUAAACUUUUUUACAAUUGUUGU